rnacentral:rRNA from 1 species
AACUGAUCCCUUCGGGGUGACGUUAAUGGAUCUAGCGGCGGACGGGUGAGUAACACGUGGGCAACCUGCCUGUAAGACUGGGAUAACUCGCGGAAACGUGAGCUAAUACCGGAUAACACUUCGAACCACAUGGUUUGAAGAUGAAAGGCGGCGCAAGCUGUCACUUACAGAUGGGCCCGCGGCGCAUUAGCUAGUUGGUGAGGUAACGGCUCACCAAGGCGACGAUGCGUAGCCGACCUGAGAGGGUGAUCGGCCACACUGGGACUGAGACACGGCCCAGACUCCUACGGGAGGCAGCAGUAGGGAAUCUUCCGCAAUGGACGAAAGUCUGACGGAGCAACGCCGCGUGAGUGAUGAAGGUUUUCGGAUUGUAAAACUCUGUUGUUAGGGAAGAACAAGUACAAUAGUAACUGAUUGUACCUUGACGGUACCUAACCAGAAAGCCCCGGCUAACUACGUGCCAGCAGCCGCGGUAAUACGUAGGGGGCAAGCGUUGUCCGGAAUUAUUGGGCGUAAAGCGCGCGCAGGCGGUCCUUUAAGUCUGAUGUGAAAGCCCACGGCUUAACCGUGGAGGGUCAUUGGAAACUGGAGGACUUGAGUGCAGAAGAGGAGAGUGGAAUUCCACGUGUAGCGGUGAAAUGCGUAGAGAUGUGGAGGAACACCAGUGGCGAAGGCGACUCUCUGGUCUGUAACUGACGCUGAGGCGCGAAAGCGUGGGGAGCGAACAGGAUUAGAUACCCUGGUAGUCCACGCCGUAAACGAUGAGUGCUAGGUGUUAGGGGGUUUCCGCCCCUUAGUGCUGAAGUUAACGCAUUAAGCACUCCGCCUGGGGAGUACGGCCGCAAGGGCUGAAACU